GGCGUAAGCGCGCGCAGGCGGUCUCUUAAGUCUGAUGUGAAAGCCCCGGGCUCAACCUGGGAGCUGCAUUGGAUACUGGGCAACUUGAGUGCGGAAGAGGGUAGCCGAAUUCCCCGGGGUACGGUGAAAUGCCUUAAAAUGUGGAAGAACCCCCCAUGGCGAAAGCGGCUUCCUGGUCCGUCACUGACGCUGAGGCGCGAAAGCGUGGGGAGCAAACAGGAUUAGAUACCCUGGUAGUCCACGCCCUAAACGAUGAGUGCUGGAUGUUGGAUGCUUUCCGCCCCUCAGUGCCGCAGCUAACGCGUUAAGCUCUCCGCCUGGGGAGUACGGUCGCAAGACUGAAACUCAAAGGAAUUGACGGGGGCCCGCACAAGCGGUGGAGCAUGUGGUUUAAUUCGAUGCAACGCGAAGAACCUUACCUGGUCUUGACA
rnacentral:rRNA from 2 species